AGUCACUCGGUUUUUAAAUGCCACGCGCACUUUUAAAAAGAACGACAAUUUUGUGCGACAACGGUGAUUAAAAGGUCGUCAGUGAUUAUUACAGGCAGGAAACUUCCGGCUAAACAGGAACGGAAGACACAGAGUUACACAGGCAAGUGUUAGAAGAGUGUUUUCAUAGAAAAGGUGAAGAAUUUGUGAAGGAGACGCUUGUUGUUGUUGUUGUUGUUUAGCUAAUGGAAGCAGACAAAGUCAAAGUGGACCAAAGUGUCAAAGCAGCCAUUUUGUGCGUGGGAAUAAAGUCAAGUUAUUAUCAUCUACCUUCUGACAUCAGACCCUUGUCUUCAUCUCUGAAGAGAAGCAGUUGAAGCAGACAUCACAUUAAAGAGUGAGAGUUCAGCUAUUUAGAAGAUGUAACUCUGAGGCUUUGCGUUUCAUGAGCUGCGAAAGCCGAACAUGUUGCCUCUCCAUCUCCAUCCCCAUAGGGGUUGUCCUGGAGUCUGACGUCUGGAUUAGACAUGCUCUUCGAUUACUGCCCCAAGCUCCAGUCUCCCUGUGAUGACGACCUCUUUCUUGACCCCGCAUUUUAACCCGCUUCACUGUUGUCCUGCC